ensembl:lncRNA
UAAAGGAGGCAGCUGCAGGAACAUGAGGGAGAAAAGAAUUCCAGGCUGAAGGCACUGAGGAUGUAAAAGCCCUGAGGUGGAAACAAGCUUGAUGUGUUUUAGAAACAGGUGCCUAAUGAAGCUACAGCAGAGUGAGCGGAGUAGAGUUGACAGGCAGGAAGCUCUCGACGGGAGCGCCCUCCUGGUUCUGCGCUGCGCGCCCGCAGCCCGCACAGCCUCCAGGGGGCGCCCGGGGCCCGCGCUGCCCGAACCAGGCGUCCUGCGGGCCUCGGGGCAGAGGACUGCCGCCAAAGCCGCGACCUGGGUCCACCUGGGUUUCUCCCCCUCGUCUUGGAUCCGCUUCCCCCUCACCCACCGAAGGAUGGUGAGCUGGAGAGGGGCCCGGCUAGGGCGGGUGGACGCGUCGUCUGGGGAGCGCAGCCUCUUGGACCGGUCACCGCUUCAUCCCGCCUUUGAGACCCUGGUUUCCAAAGUGACAUUGGAUAGUUUCACUGCCCGCCGCGCCCCUGCGGAAGCCAGCGGGGCUGCUCGACUGAGGGUCUCGGACGACGCCCCCUGCUGGCUGUCCGCAUCAUGGGGAAAACGAAGUCCAGGUGGUUUUACGCUUAAGAACUUUGCAGAUUAACACGUCUUCACGGCAUCUCGCUGUGACCCUCGGAACUGGGGACGGCAGCCAGGAUCGGGUAGGAGGAGCAAGACGGAAUCCAGGGCCGGGAUUCCCGCUGGGGCUGGCUAGUAGUGCUACCGCCCAAGGGGGGCGGGGGGAGUGGUCUGCUCACGGCAAGACAUGCCAAUACUCAGGAGGCAAGGCGGUAGGAGAGAAAAGACUUUAUUGCAGCUUGCUAGCAAACGGGAAGAUGGCCGACUCCUGUCCGAAAGAACCAUCUUGCAGAAGGAAGACUACAGGCCAGUCAUAUACAAAGCUGGUCUCUAGGUGGGGCAGACAUCUCGUCCCAGUUCUUGAUAGUCCUUUGUGGUACUGGAUAUGCAUCAGAGAAUGGAGCAACGCCCUAUACCCUGACUUUCAGUUGUCAUUGAUGAUGGCUAUCAGCAUAUGCUCUCUGCCCAGGGGUUAUCACAUUCCUAAGGAACUCAAAAGAACAAAGUUAUCCUCUUAAAGCAGUUGGGAGGGGCCACAAAAUCUACAGAGCAUGUCUGGGCUAGUUAACCAGAGGUUAUUUAAAGUUGCAAUAUGAUUUCUUUUCUACAGUAUGGCUUGUCUUAUGUCAACCUUGUGUUGAGCGGGUAUCAGUAGGUUCACCAGGCAGCAACUCCCCGCCCAGGCAGGGGCACUAGAUGGCAGCUUCUGGGGGUGAGGGAUGGAGAUGAUGGGGUUCAGGGGCCCAAGAGAGAGGCAGAGGGAUGGCCACAGGGUUCCAGCCAGAAAUGAGGGGACACAAAAUCCUCGGGGCUGCAGAUCAUAGGCCUCUGCCCACACAGAGGGUGAGGGAGACACAGGGUGCUCCAUGUGUCAGGGCUGUCACCCUAAUGGCCAAGACUAUACAAAGUCAGGUCUGGCCAUGGCAGCCUGGAUGUGGCAGGAAGUGGAGGGGCAUCAAGGAAGCCUGUGACCUGGAUGGUGGCACGGGUCAUUCACACCCCGUUAAAGUUACCCGAGAUGAAGGCAGCUCUUUGAGGUGGGAAAGGGCAAGGGCCCAGAGCAAAGGCUGGGAAGGGGGCAACAGCAUGCAGGCGUCUCAAAGGCUGGGGGGUUUGUUCAAGGGCACAGGAGCCAUGGUCUCCAGGGGCAUGGGGGUGGUUUAGAGAAUGAGCAGCAACCUCCAGGAGCUGUGGAGAAGCUGUGGCAAGAGGGGGACAGGUUGAAGGCAGGAGAUGGAGGGAGAGGCUGAGUUUGUGUCUAUGGGAGAUGCCCCUGUUUUCCAGGGCAGGAGGAUUGCAGAUGGGGAGCAGGUGAGGAGAGAUGAGACUUCAGCAGAUGGAAGGACAGGAUAAGGUGACCGAGGCUGUGAGGGUGGGAGGUUAGACAGACCCCAAGGCAUCACGUGGGCCUCUGGACAGAACCAGGGCAGCAGAGGUCUCACAUGUGUCCCAGACCUCGGCUGCUGCUUCAAAGGACCCGUCUCCUAUUAAGAACCCCCUGCAUCAUGACAGAUGCUUAGAGGGAAUGAGUCAUGGGUUCUCAGUGCACGCUGAGGAGCCCCAC